rnacentral:rRNA from 1 species
GAGUUUGAUCUUGGCUCAGAUUGAACGCUGGCGGCAGGCCUAACACAUGCAAGUCGGGCGGUAGAGAGAAGCUUGCUUCUCUUGAGAGCGGCGGACGGGUGAGUAAUGCCUAGGAAUCUGCCUGGUAGUGGGGGAUAACGCUCGGAAACGGACGCUAAUACCGCAUACGUCCUACGGGAGAAAGCAGGGGACCUUCGGGCCUUGCGCUAUCAGAUGAGCCUAGGUCGGAUUAGCUAGUUGGUGAGGUAAUGGCUCA